UGGGGGAUAUUGCACAAUGGGGGGAAACCCGUGAUGCAGCGACGCCGCGUGGGUGAAGAAGCGCCUCGGCGCGUAAAGCCCUGUCAGCAGGGAAGAAAAUGACGGUACCUGAAGAAGAAGCCCCGGCUAACUACGUGCC
rnacentral:rRNA from 1 species